rnacentral:rRNA from 1 species
GGAAUUUUGGACAAUGGGGGAAACCCUGAUCCAGCGACGCCGCGUGGGUGAUGAAGGCCUUCGGGUCGUAAAGCCCUGUCUGGGGGGACGAAACUCUCGCGGGUGCACAAUCCGCGGGAUUGACGGUCCCCCCGAAGGAAGCACCGGCUAACUCCGUCCCACCAGCCGCGGUAAGACGGCGGGUGCUAGCGUUGCUCGGAAUUCCUGGGCGUAAAGGGCGCGUAGGCGGCCUGUUAAGUGCGAUGUGAAAUCCCCGGGCUCACCCCGGGAAGUGCGUCGUAUACUGGCAGGCUCUAGUACCGGAGAGGAGGGUGGAAUUCCUGGUGUAGCGGUGAAAUGCGUAGAUAUCAGGAGGAACACCGGUGGCGAAGGCGGCCCUCUGGACGGAUACUGACGCUGAGGCGCGAAAGCGUGGGGAUCAAA